rnacentral:rRNA from 1 species
AUUGAACGCUGGCGGCAGGCCUAACACAUGCAAGUCGAACGAGUAGCGGACGGGUGAGUAAUGUCUGGGAAACUGCCCGAUGGAGGGGGGUAACUACUGGAAACGGUAGCUAAUACCGCAUACCAUCGGAUGUGCCCAGAUGGGAUUAGAGAGGAGGUGGGGUAACGGCUCACCGAGGCGACGAUCCCUAGCUGGUCUGAGAGGAGGAACAGCAAAAGUGGAACUGAGACACGUUCCAGACGCCUACGGGAGGCAGCAGUGGGGAAUAUUGCACAAUGGGCGCAAGCCUGAUGCAGCCAUGCCGCGUGUAUGAAGAAGGCCUUCGGGUUGUAAAGUACUUUCAGCGAGGAGGCGUUACUCGCAGAAGAAGCACCGGCUAACUCCGUGCCAGCAGCCGCGGUAAUUC